GUGAAAUUGUUGAAAGGGAAACGAUUGAAGUCAGUCGUGCGGUCAUCGAUUCAACAAACCGAAUGCGAGUUCUUCUCGUGUUUAGCCUGUGCAAUUUGGUGUUCGCUGGUCAGCAUCAAUUUCGAUUGUCAUAAAAAGGUCGAGGGGAUGUGGCUCCUUCGGGAGUGUUAUAACCCUCGGCGGAAUGUGGCGAUCGGGAUUGAGGUUUGCAACGGUGCCAGUUUCCUGGCCUCUCGUCGGCGCCCGGGUGGCGACAGCUUGCUGACGUCGUUCGGAUCAGUUGGCGAAAAGGUUGGAGCGACUGAAUCGUUUAAGGAUGCUGACGUAAUGGCUUUAAACGAC
rnacentral:rRNA from 1 species